CUCAUCACGGAAAAAAAGCGAAAGCUGAGAGGAGCUGAGACAGCAGCUUUAGGUGGGUUCAACCAGGAAGCACUCAACAUUGAGCCUGGAGGAGACUGGUCAUGCUGAUAGAAGAAGAGCUGAAAAGCCCAACAUGGGCAACGAGACACUCAGAGAUGAAGACACCAAUGCAGAGAGCUAGCUUGCUCAAAUUCACACGCAAGUCAAAGUGAAGCAAAAUUCGAAACCACAGUCACAUGCCUCCAAAGGACAUAAUCUUUCCUCUGCAUACAUUAGAUGCUGUAAGAUCUCAUUAAGAUGGGUGUUCAGAGAACAGCAAAGUCUCUAUUUCUUCACCUGAAAAAUGGAAUCUGGGACAACUCCCACAGGAAUCCUUUUAUCAGCAUAGGCUGGAAUCAUCUAGGAAGUUUUUAUAGAAAAGAUGGGGCUCUUCGUGGUCUUGAAGGGUAUGUGAGACUCAUGGAG